rnacentral:tRNA from 1 species
AGUUUUUGAGCUUGAAAAAGCAUUUACUUUGAAAGUAAAAGAUAGGAAAAAAUUUCCUAAAAACUA